rnacentral:rRNA from 1 species
UACGUAGGGUGCAAGCGUUAAUCGGAAUUACUGGGCGUAAAGCGUGCGCAGGCGGCUUUGCAAGACAGGUGUGAAAGCCCCGAGCUUAACUUGGGAAUUGCGCUUGUGACUGGCGUGCUGGAGUGUGGCAGAGGGGAGGUGGAAUUCCACGUGUAGCAGUGAAAUGCGUAGAGAUGUGGAGGAACACCGAUGGCGAAGGCAGCCUCCUGGGCCAGCACUGACGCUCAUGCACGAAAGCGUGGGGAGCAAACAGG